CCGGCUCCGUGCCAGUGCGUGUCAGGCGUUCUCGUCCUGGGGUCGUCGCCCGCGCUUGCUGGAGGAGGAGGGGGGCCGGUGAGGCUGAAGCAGGCUCCUCCGCUCGCUGUCCUCGCCGGCCUUCCCUUGCUCGGGGAUCCCUCGCGUUAUGCUGCUGAUCGAUGUGGUGAUGCUGUGCUCUCCUGGGCCGGGCCUAAGCCGUGCCAGACGAGGGACGGACGUUCAUGGCGAACGGGACCGCUCUUCUCGCUCUGCCCGCGGGCCCCCUCGCCCGUUCUCUCCCGCUGCGAGUGGCGUGUGGGAGGUGGCAGGGGUGCGGAAUCCGGCCCGACCUCGCUCCCCCGCCCCGUGCCUUGUGGCGUGGGCGGUGUCGGGGUCUCCGUGACGCGGCGGAUGCUCCGCCUGUGCCUCUUGGCUGUGUCUCGCGGGCGGCCCUCCCCACGGUGGGGCGGGCCGUGUUGCCGCCGUGCCGCGCGCCUUCUUGGGCGCGUGAGCGCGCUCCCCCGGCCGUUGGCGGUGCCCCUGGAGUGUUCCAGGUCGUCCCUCAGGUGCCCGAGGCCGAGUGGCGGUGUCGUUCCCUGUUCCCGUCGCCCUCCUCAGGUGACCGCUGCGCUGGUGUGUCUGAGAAGCGGGGGGUCGAGUCGGUAAGGGAGGCGUGCCCGUCCCCCUCGGGGGGGACGGGUGCCACGUCGCCCCCCACACGGCGUGCCGUGUGGGGGCGGGCAGGCUCGGGCGCGUGCCCGCGUGUUCCCCUUGCUGGGGUUUCCACGCGGGUGUGGGAGUGAUCGUGGUGGGCCGAGCCAGCGGCGUGAUGCUGGCUCUUUGGUUGGGAGGUGCUGUUUGAUCGGCACCUCCGUCCCAGUCUCUGCCUCCCUUGGUCUCGGCCUGAGGGGAGGCACUGACUUGGGAGCCGCACAGGGGCCUUUUAGAUCCCUAGCUAAGCCCAGUGUGGCCGGAGAUGGUGAGCCCGGGGCAGCUCGGGCUCGCGGCCCUGACCACGGAGUCUCCGACUUGCUCUAGGCCUUACCUCUACCGCAGACCCCUCCUGCGUUGUGUGGCCAUGGUGUCUGUAAGCGCCUUGGUGGGCCCGAUGGCGGACGAUGGGCGGGGGCGACACGCCCUCGGUGAGAAAGCCUUCUCUAGCGAUCCGAGAGGGUGCCUUGGGGUACCGGACCCCCCAGCCGCCGCCCCUCCUCUGCGCAUGGGUGGGGGCCGCCGCCGCUCUCGGGCGCGUUCCCUCGGGACGUGGGCCCCGGAGCAGACCAGACAGGCAGACGGGUGGCUGGGUGGACGGGGCGGCCCCCGGCGGCGGGGGCGCCUCACGUAGGCCCCGGCGGUGGGGCCGGGCCCGCGGGAGGCCGAAGGGUGGCUGAGGCCGUCCGGCGUCCCAGGCGUCGUGGGACCGCCCUCGCGUGUCGUUGGCGGUGGGAUCCCGCGUGUGUUUUCCUGGUGGCCCGUCGCGCCCGAGGCCGUCCCCGGGAGCCUUUCCGCGAGCCGCGCUCCCUUCGUUCGAGGCGCGCGCGCCGCGCUCCCCGUUGCCGCCGGUGCUGCCCCGCCCGGGCAGACGCCUGGACGCGCCGCCCACCGGCCGGGACCGAAAUGGGCCUCGCCGCGCGGGUGUCGCCUCCGGCCACCGAGGCCGGUGGUGACCCGGGCGAAGUGCCCUCGGCUCCGGUUGGGUGGCGCCCGUGCGCCAGGCGCCCGGCGUGGGACGCCGGCGCCGUGUGCGGGAGAGCCCUGGCCGUGGAGGUGGGUGGUGGGGCCGAGCCCCCGUGAGCUGCGCGCGGGGCGACGGGGCCAGUCGCCGUUCCGGGCGCUGCGGGACCGCCCCUGGUGCUGGAGGCCCCUGGCGGUGAGACCCCGUGUGUGCUCCGGCGGCCGACUUGCCUCGGGAGGUUCUGUCUUCCCUCCUUCGCCCCGAGCGCGUCUCUCGGCGGGCCGGCCCUUCCUCCACCACCACCGCCUCUCCGGCGCCUCGGCCUUCGCCGCCGUCGGCCUUCUCGCGAGCCCUUCCCCGUCGUCGCCUGUUCUUGGCUGCCCGACCGGGGCCCCGCUCCGAGCGCGACUCGCUUCCCGGGGCCGCUGUGGCCUCCUCCGUGUCCGCCGCCGCCGCCCGGGCGACGGCGAUGUUGCGUGCGGGCGGGGGACCGUCCCCCGCGGCGCCCCGUUCUGGCGCGCGCGUGUCUGUCGCAGCGCGGGUCGGGUCCCGGCCAGCCGUCGUGACCGGCCGCCGGCGCGCCGCGCCACCCCUGGGGGCGGGGGGUCGGGCCUCGGUCCGGCUCUCGGCCCGCGGGGGCGUGUGCGGGCAGUCCGGCCGGCCAGUGUCGACGCGACUGCCUGGGUGCCCCGGCCCCGCUCACGGGCCGUCAAUCGGGCCCGCCGCGAGGGGCGCCCCCCGCUCCUCCACGCCGCCGCGCGCGCGUCCUCGUCGGCCGGGGGCGGGCGGCGGGGUCCGUCCCGUCCUCGCCCCGCCCCCGCGCCUCGGGGUGCCGCCCGCCGC
ensembl:lncRNA